rnacentral:misc_RNA from 1 species
CCAGAUGAGGGCUUCGGCCCCCGUCCCAACCCUUUGUUGACCAAACCUUUUUGCCUCGGGGGCAGAGCGUCCGCCGCCGCCCCCGGAGGACCACCGAACGCUGUCUCUUUACGUCGGAGUCUUAAUGAAAAUGAAUCA